CUCUUUUCUGAAAAUUGUCCAGAUCUUCUGCCUAUAGUUCAUGGCUUUCUCUCAUUUGUAUCUCUCCACAGCUUCUUCCAUGUAUUGACUGAUUAGGUCAAGCUCACACUUAACACUGAGUGAAUGAACUGAGGUGGCAUACUGGGGACACGGACUGUGCCCAGCCAGGAAUGACCUCUUCAGGCCUCCAAUUCUGGCUCAGAGCAGCAGAGACCAAUUUUGUCAAGGCCUCAAUCUGGACAAGGGCUCACACAACCCAACCCAGCCUUCAUGCCCUGCCUAGACGAUGAAGGGACCGUUCUCCCGUUGGCUUCUGGCCCCUACUCAGCACGGCACAUCCCCCAUGCCAUAAGGGAACUCACUCACGUGAUGCAAUUACCAGGAUGAGAGCUUGAAAGCAGACUACCGUCUGGAUUCUUGCUCAGCCUCAUCUCUGCCAGGGCAUCCUCUGAAAUGCUCCCAGCCUUUGGCAAGAGAAGGAAGGAGGCCAAAACCAGUCCCUGAGUCAGAGGCAGACCCCCUUCAUCUCCUCAAUGAAGAACCUGGAAUUGAUGGUGUUGACAUGAGGUCCUGCAGGACACUGCCCUCUGCCCACUUGGGCUCCCAGCCAUGCCCAGAAGGCUCCAUGAUGUCAGCUGCAAAACAGUCAACAAUCUCAUGUACCCACCCCUAAACACUGAGACCCUAAAGUGACUCUUGUAAUCCAAGAGAUGAGUUUUGGCCCCAAUCUAGGCCAAUAUCCGCCGACUUCCCCUGAGUCCCCUGAACAGACUUCGAGGAGGGCUUUCUCUUGAUCAGCUCUCCCCAGAUCCUUACAACCUCCAGGACCCUCCGUUUGAAAGCGGAGCCCAUUGUCCUGGUUCUCUCCCCUCUUGAUUGUUACUGAUGGUGGGGACUUGUUCGGACACCUCUGGAAACACAAUCAUAAUCAGGUAAUCCCUGAUGACCUCAGCAUUAAAAAUGAGUCACAGUGUG